GUUCAAUUACAUGAUACGUUUUGUAUAAGUUAACUUAAUUAACAUUAUAUUAAAGAAAAUUUUUAUGAAUAUACGAAGUUUCUGCGAAAUAAUUCCGAAUAACGCGGUAUAAUUAUUUUUCAAUCGUUUUGUUAUUCGUAAUUGAAUUGUUUGUACUUUAUUUUCUUCGAUAAAAUGUUAAAAGAUCAUUGUAAUGAAUGGAAAUAAUAUUUAAACGAAAAUCAUUAUGUUAAAAAUCGUCAAACAUUUGAAUAUCGAUGAAAAACGUGUCUCCGGGAGUUUGUAAAAAAAAAUAAAAAGGGAUUGGAUACUUGGGGAUAUGGUGGUUGAACGAACGGUACAUACAACGGAGGAGUGCGUGAUGUCACUGAUGACUUAUGGUCAUCAUAAAUCAAGCCAUUGAAUUUCACAGUGUCGAUAUUUCGUCGUGCCCCUCGCGACAUUCUAUUCCGCACCCUACCACUCCCUUGGGAAGAGCGUUGUUACCAAGGGAUGUGGUAAAGGUACCCAUCAUAUUUUUUUUCUUUUUUUUUUUAUAAAUCUUCGUACUUCCUAAAAAUAGCGUGAUACAAAAAAGAAAUGAAACAAAUCAAGACAUCUGUUUCUUGUCUUCGUUGAAUUGGAAAUUGUAUUAACCAUUUAUUUGAUCAAUUUAAGAACUCAAUCUCAAAUCAAUACGAGACAUUAUCUUUUUAUACAAUAUUAUUUAAUACCAAUACAAAUUUCUAUUUAAAUCCAUUAAGUUUAUUUCUAAUGUGAAAAUUUAUUUGAAAUCUCGAACAAAUGAAACAUCGAUCAAGUACUUUGGUAUUAAUAUUUUAAAAACUUCUCAAAUUAGAGAUUCUCUUUAUGUUUCAUUUUACCAAAUGAAUAGAUACAAAGAAUAGAAAAUUAAAUUGAGAACAAUUUCUUACAUAAAUCUAAUAGCAUAAAUUUUAAUUAAAAAUUUCCAAAAACUUUUUUCUCGAAAGUGAUGCCACAAAUUAAAAAAUGAUACUCUUAUUUAUCGAUUAAUUGUUUCAUGUUGAAUCAUCCCCUAUACCACAACCCGUACUUAUGUAUAAAAAUAAUUAUAAUUUUACACGUACGAACAUAUCAUUUUCAUAGCAAACAAGAUACGCAUAAGUAUACAAAAAAUAAAUUUCUUUUUCUACCUUAUAUCAUGUAUACAUUUUCCAACGUGUUCGCAGAUAACUAGAAAUAAAUAUGAAAACAGUUAAACAGUGCACUGAAUGGACACCGAAUAAUCUUUUCCACGAAUGUCAAUGUGUUUAUAAAUUCCACGACGAGAUUUAUAAUAGAAUAAAAACAACAAUAUUGAAAUAUAGACAUCGGUUGAGGAGUCGGGAAAGUAUAUAUGUAAAAACAAAACAUUAAAUCGUUCUUUCGAUUAGUUUAACCUCUACUCAUUCUUUCCUAUUCAGUCGUCAUUCUUAUAAGCUUCCGACAAGACGUAUUAAUAUGUGUUUUCAUUUUACGUAUUAUACAUUUUCCUAUCUCAUUUAUUCGUUCGUUUAAAUUAAAUACAGUGUUUUAUAUCUUUUUUUUUUUUAACGAUGCUCUAAUUAAUACUAUUAAUUAAUUACUUUUAGUAAAUAAGAACAUUAUUUGAUCGAUAUUUUUCGUAUUAUUAAAGCAUAAAGUGUGUUUCUCGUUGGAGAGUAAAAUUUUCGGAAUGAUCUCACCGGGAAAAUGGAAUUUUAAUAUUUCAGAAUGCUUCCUGAACAUCUUCAACGACCCUUUCGUGCCUCGAACGCAUCUUCCACGUUGGAAUUUUCACACGCUUGAGAAGGUAGAAACAAAGAGGCGGCCUUGAGGAUUUCGGUAAAGGAAGAGAAAUAGGAAGAGGAGGAUGAGGAUGGAGGAUACCAUGAGGGUGGGUGACAAUGUCUCGCGAUUUACCCCCGCGCAUUGUGCUGUCUCCAACCCUCCAACCCCAAACCCUCCUCAACGAGUUCGAAGCAUCUCGACAGACAGAACGCGGCUACAACGGACGUUAUCAGCGAAAUGAAACGAAGCUCACGAUUAAAAGAACCGAUUCGCUUUCUAAUUACGUACAGAAAAGAUAGCCUCGUCUUCUACCCUUUCCCUCCCCCUACCC
rnacentral:lncRNA from 1 species